CCUACGGGGUGCUGCAGUGAGGAAUAUUGGUCAAUGGACGAGAGUCUGAACCAGCCAAGUAGCGUGAAGGAUGACUGCCCUAUGGGUUGUAAACUUCUUUUAUAUGGGAAUAAAAUGUUCCACGUGUGGGAUUUUGUAUGUACCAUAUGAAUAAGGAUCGGCUAACUCCGUGCCAGCAGCCGCGGUAAUACGGAGGAUCCGAGCGUUAUCCGGAUUUAUUGGGUUUAAAGGGAGCGUAGGUGGAUUGUUAAGUCAGUUGUGAAAGUUUGCGGCUCAACCGUAAAAUUGCAGUUGAAACUGGCAGUCUUGAGUACAGUAGAGGUGGGCGGAAGUCGUGGUGUAGCGGUGAAAUGCUUAGAUAUCACGAAGAACUCCGAUUGCGAAGGCAGUUCACUGGACUGCAACUGACACUGAGGCUCGAAAGUGUGGGUAUCAAACAGGAUUAGAUACCCGAGUAGUC
rnacentral:rRNA from 1 species